GUCGCCAUAGCUCAGGGGUUAGAGCAGUGGUCUCGGAAUUCAGGGGUCGCAGGUUUGAAUCUUGCUGGGGCCA
rnacentral:tRNA from 1 species